GGCCCGGUGGCUCAGCUGGUUAGAGCGCCGCCCUGUCACGGCGGAGGUCGUCGGUUCGAUCCCGAUCCGGGUCG
rnacentral:tRNA from 30 species